rnacentral:rRNA from 1 species
GACGAACGCUGGCGGCGUGCUUAACACAUGCAAGUCGAACGGUGAAGGACGGAGCUUGCUCCGACCGGAUCAGUGGCGAACGGGUGAGUAACACGUGAGUAACCUGCCCCAGACUCUGGAAUAACCCCGGGAAACCGGAGCUAAUACCGGAUACGAGACGGAGAGGCAUCUCUGCCGUCUGGAAAGUUCUUCGGUCUGGGAUGGACUCGCGGCCUAUCAGCUAGUUGGUGAGGUAAUGGCUCACCAAGGCGACGACGGGUAGCCGGCCUGAGAGGGCGACCGGCCACACUGGGACUGAGACACGGCCCAGAUUCCUACGGGAGGCAGCAGUGGGGAAUAUUGCACAAUGGGCGAAAGCCUGAUGCAGCGACGCCGCGUGAGGGAUGACGGCCUUCGGGUUGUAAACCUCUUUCAGCAGGGAAGAAGCGAAAGUGACGGUACCUGCAGAAGAAGCACCGGCUAACUACGUGCCAGCAGCCGCAGUAAAAC